CUUCAUUAUGCCCCUUUUCUUCAGUUGUUUUCUUGUAUCGUGCAGUGCAUUCCAAUACAGAAGUAGAUUUCUGCGUUAUUUCAUAAAAUAUCCUACUUCAAAAAUGACGCCACAUCGUCUGAUCUUGCUCGUAGUAUUGAAUUUAUGCUCAGCUAUUUCUUUCGAUUUGGAACUUUCUAAACUACCUCCUGGAAGUUUUAAUGGUAAUGUUGUAAUAUUCUACUUCAAGCAAAAUGUUUCCAUAAUUUGCAAUGGUAAAAGUGAAGUUGAGUGGAUAAUAGACACUACCGACCAAACCAAUAGUUCCGUACAAGUAGUUACACCUAGUGAAAAAAUUCUCAGAAUACGAAACGUCACAGGGUAUGACACUGGCGCCUACACAUGCAUCUCUAAAAACAACCCCGAGGUGUUCUGGAAGUUCUUCGUUCACGUUUUUGGUGACCGACCAGGGACUGAAAUUAUUGGAGAAGUGGAGUCCACGUACAAAUACGAACGCUACAUAUCACUGGAGAAGCGCUAGUACCUUUCAGGAAUGACUUGUCAAUGAUGAUUGACGACGAACAUGAUGGAGCGUCAUUCUGAUACGUGGAAGACAAAUGAAAAAAAAUUACGACUAUUGCACAGGAUACGAUAUGGACAUGAAACAUGGCCUUCUAUGCUGAGUUAAAUUAAUUUUUAAUUCUAGACUUGAAUAAAAUUUUUUAAAAAAAUGAAUUUUUGGACCUGAAAAAAUAAAGUUUUAUUGUAACUAGGUACUUAUUAUUUAAUAAAGAUAUUUAAUUUCAUGGAAAAUACGUCUUUAAAGCUAAGAUGAAACAUGCACAUGCACGGAAAGUACUCGUAGUUACUUUCCUCCCCAUAACUGUUUUCCACGCUUGUGUCUGAAUUUACAUUUUUUUUUUAAUUUCCACAUUUAUUUUCCUCUCAUAUGAAAUUUAAAUAGUAUACGCGACAGGAUUGGACAGAAACGCGAUUAACUCGUGUCACGUAUAGUCUGGAAAGCGAAGAAUAUCAAGUCGAAUCUUCGAUACACAACUGAGCACCUACGAAUAGGAAUUGACGAAAUCAUUUUAGAAACUUAGAAACUGUGUAUAUGUAAGUAAUAUAGGUACAUUGAAUCUCUUUUCUUAUAGUAUGUGAGCCAUUUAUAAUAUACGAAAUUUCAAAAACUAUAGGUUUCAUAAUUUAUUGUACUAUAGGAAUUAGCUAAAGUUGAGUAAAUGAUUUUGCCAAUU